GUGGGGAAUAUUGGGCAAUGGGCGAAAGCCUGACCCAGCAACGCCGCGUGAAGGAAGAAGGUCUUCGGAUUGUAAACUUCUGUCAUUGGGGACGAAGGAAGUGACGGUACCCGAUGAGGAAGCCCCGGCUAACUACGUGCCAGCAGCCGCGGUAAUACGUAGGGGGCGAGCGUUGUCCGGAAUUACUGGGCGUAAAGGGUGCGUAGGCGGCGAUGCAAGUCCAUUGUGAAAAGCCCGGGCUUAACCUGGGAGGUGCAGUGGAAACUGUAUGGCUUGAGUGCAGGAGAGGAAAGUGGAAUUCCUAGUGUAGCGGUGAAAUGCGUAGAUAUUAGGAGGAACACCAGUGGCGAAGGCGGCUUUCUGGACUGUAACUGACGCUGAGGCACGAAAGCGUGGGGAGCAAACAGGAUUAGAUACCCGUGUAGUCC
rnacentral:rRNA from 1 species